GAUGAACGCUGGCGGCGUGCCUAAUGCAUGCAAGUCGAGCGAACAGACGAGGAGCUUGCUCCUCUGACGUUAGCGGCGGACGGGUGAGUAACACGUGGAUAACCUACCUAUAAGACUGGGAUAACUUCGGGAAACCGGAGCUAAUACCGGAUAAUAUAUUGAACCGCAUGGUUCAAUAGUGGAAGACGGUUUUGCUGUCACUUAUAGAUGGAUCCGCGCCGCAUUAGCUAGUUGGUAAGGUAACGGCUUACCAAGGCGACGAUGCGUAGCCGACCUGAGAGGGUGAUCGGCCACACUGGAACUGAGACACGGUCCAGACUCCUACGGGAGGCAGCAGUAGGGAAUCUUCCGCAAUGGGCGAAAGCCUGACGGAGCAACGCCGCGUGAGUGAUGAAGGUCUUCGGAUCGUAAAACUCUGUUAUUAGGGAAGAACAAAUGUGUAAGUAACUAUGCACGUCUUGACGGUACCUAAUCAGAAAGCCACGGCUAACUACGUG
rnacentral:rRNA from 1 species